CCCGGCCAAAAAUUAAACUCUCUCCUCCCUUUUUAAAAUAGAAUUCUAGGUCAAACUCGUAUCAUCCUCUCUCUCUCUCUCUCUCUCUCUCUCUCUCCCUCCCUCCUCCUCCUCCUCCUCCUCCUCCUCUCAGAGGCUCAUUAUCUCAAAAUCUCCUUUUCAAAUUCGAUUUCGGGAGUCCGAUGCCGGCGGUGCAGGAAGAUUCGCCGGAGGCCCAGCGAUAUCUAGAAAUCCGACGCCGUUACUGCGAUGGUCCUCAGAGCCGAAGAACAAAGCCAGCUACAGCUCGUUGAACUCGAAGACAUUGAUGAUGAAGACGACCUCUUCGAAGCGAUCGAUAAGUGGAAUCAAUGUUGGAGAUGCUUCAGGACGCAGGGAUCUACAUCUGCAAUGGCUUCAGGACGCAGGGAUCUACACCAAGAAUGUAGAUUUCCAUAAUUAAACAUGCAGUUUGAUUCAAAUACCACGUUCUAUACCUCAAGUCUUGCUGACUGAGCUUGUUUGUUACUUUUCAGCUUCCUACUAACAUGCAUGGAGGGAAUGGAAAUGUUGCUUAAAUUGAUACUGAGGGAAUUUUGUGCCUUGUUUACAUUAUUGGUUUGAUAAUGUGAUUUGAUGGGAAAGUAGAAAUUAAAUCCUGGCUGCUGGAAGUGUUAAUUACAAUGUCGUAUUAUUAUAAAGUCUUAUUUUUAUACUUCCAAUUCAAUGCUGUUAUCAUUUCGUUUUGGAAAAUUGAUGAAGUUAUUGGUAGAUGCUUAAACUACUUUUCUUAUUUCUUUGUAUCCCAAUAUUGUCACUGUGAUAAGAUCCAUUAGACAAUGGGAUUCAUCCCAUGUGAGAGACAGAGAGAGUUGGAAAGACAAGUGUUAGGGAAAUGACUGGGCUGUACAGCACUGUCCUAACUCUAAGAUAAUUGACAUCUGGUCUAUUGUUGCCCCUUUCUUAUUGUUAAUUAGACUUGAAUUUCUAUAUCAUAGUCCAGUACCAUUGUAUUAUUCAGUAUUUUGUCUAUUGUAUUCUCAGGUUUUGGGAGGUUUUGAAGAAUCAAAGUAUGUUACUGAAAGGAAAUGGGCUAGUGCUCCAGAUGGUACUCAGAUUCCAAUAUCAAUUGUUUACAGGAAGGACAUUAUAAAGCUUGAUGGAUCUGAUCCAUUGCUACUCUAUGGCUAUGGUUCUUACGAGGGUAAACCAUGGAGAAUUUUGUUGGAUCGGGGUUUUAUUUACUAUAGCUCAUAUUCGUGGUGGUGGUGAAAUGGGUAGGAAAUGGUAUGAGAAUGGGAAGUUACUGAAGAAGAAAAAUACUUUUACAGAUUUUAUUGCCUAUGCUGAAUAUUUGAUUGAAAAGAAAUAUUGUUCAAAAGAAAAAUUAAGUAUAGAUGGAAGGAGUGCUGGUGGAUUGCUCAUUGGUGCUGUUCUUAAUAUGAGACCUGAUUUGUUCAACGCUGCUGUUGCUGGAGUGCCUUUUGUUGAUGUGUUGACUACAGUGCUUGACCCAACAAUCCCUCUCACAACUUCAGAGUGGGAGGAAUGGGGUGAUCCGCGUAGAGAAGAAUUCUACUAUUACAUGAAGUCAUAUUCUCCUGUUGAUAUGACACAAGAAUUCUACUAAAUGGUUUUAUUUGAACCAAAACAAAGGGAAACCUGGUUGACCAAUUCAAAUAGGAAUUCUGCAAGUUAUAUGGCAUGAUGCUUGAGCCUUUGCUGAAUGUUUAUCUGCAAGCAGGAGAUUUUUUUCUCUCGAGCUUGUCUUGCACUUGCCUCUCUAAGAAACACAGAGAACUUGAUGCUUUGGCCAAUAACCAUGAAACUAUUUCAAUGGCAAUCAUAUACUUGUUCCUGGCAAUCAUCUACUAUUUCAAUGGAAUGUGAUAUAUUGUGAUACCAUGUGGAAUGUGGAAUAUUGUGAUAGAUAUCAUUCGCUAACUUAUCGAUUUUAUUAGUCAAAGGAUUAAAUGAUGUAAUGAGGUUUAGUAUAUCAUUAUUACACUUGUUGUAAUAU